AGCUCCAAUAGCGUAUAUUAAAGUUGUUGCAGUUAAAAAGCUCGUAGUUGGAUUUCGGGAUGGGCCAGUUGGUCCGCCGCAAGGUGUGUUACUGACUGGUCUGUUCUUCUUCGCAAAGACUGCGUGUGCUCUUCGUUGAGUGUGCGUAGGAUUUACGACGUUUACUUUGAAAAAAUUAGAGUGUUCAAGGCAGGCAUAUAUUAAAUAGCUUGAAUACAUGAGCAUGGAAUAAUGAAAUAGGACUUCGGUGCACUAUUUCGUUGGUUCUACUGUCCGAAGUAAUGAUUAAGAGGGACAGUUGGGGGCAUCCGUAUUUCGUAGUCAGAGGUGAAAUUCUUGGAUCUGCGAAAGACGAACUAGUGCGAAAGCAUUUGCCAAGAGUGUUUUCAUUAAUCAAGAA
rnacentral:rRNA from 1 species